rnacentral:rRNA from 1 species
GGAAAUGUAGCUUGCUACAUUACCUAGCGGCGGACGGGUGAGUAAUGCUUAGGAAUCUGCCUAUUAGUGGGGGACAACAUUCCGAAAGGAAUGCUAAUACCGCAUACGUCCUACGGGAGAAAGCAGGGGACCUUCGGGCCUUGCGCUAAUAGAUGAGCCUAAGUCGGAUUAGCUAGUUGGUGGGGUAAAGGCCUACCAAGGCGACGAUCUGUAGCGGGUCUGAGAGGAUGAUCCGCCACACUGGGACUGAGACACGGCCCAGACUCCUACGGGAGGCAGCAGUGGGGAAUAUUGGACAAUGGGGGGAACCCUGAUCCAGCCAUGCCGCGUGUGUGAAGAAGGCCUUUUGGUUGUAAAGCACUUUAAGCGAGGAGGAGGCUACUAGUAUUAAUACUACUGGAUAGUGGACGUUACUCGCAGAAUAAGCACCGGCUAACUCUGUGCCAGCAGCCGCGGUAAUACAGAGGGUGCGAGCGUUAAUCGGAUUUACUGGGCGUAAAGCGUGCGUAGGCGGCUGAUUAAGUCGGAUGUGAAAUCCCUGAGCUUAACUUAGGAAUUGCAUUCGAUACUGGUCAGCUAGAGUAUGGGAGAGGAUGGUAGAAUUCCAGGUGUAGCGGUGAAAUGCGUAGAGAUCUGGAGGAAUACCGAUGGCGAAGGCAGCCAUCUGGCCUAAUACUGACGCUGAGGUACGAAAGCAUGGGGAGCAAACAGGAUUAGAUACCCUGGUAGUCCAUGCCGUAAACGAUGUCUACUAGCCG